AAUCGGAUAGCUGCGUCUCGGAAAGGAAAAUCCGAAGAUGAGGAAAGUCCGGGCUUCACGGAAACAAGAUACCGGAUAACGUCCGGCUGGAGUAAUCCACGGGAAAGCGCCGCAGAAAAUUACCGCCGCGUAUAUCGCGGUAAGGUUGAAAAGGCGAGGUAAGAGCUCACCGCGUGUGCAGUAAUGCGCAUGGCAAGGCAAGCCCUAUCUGAUGUAAGACCAAAUUAGGAGAGUUUAAUGUCUUUAUUAAACUAUACGAGAUGUUUCCGACUCGCUCCAGAGGUGGGUCGCACCAGCUAAGCGGUAACGUUUGGCGUAGAUGAAUAGCUAUCGCACAAAAUCUUUGUCUUUAGAGAUAAAGCAAAUUGUGUACAGAACUCGGCUUAUAGAUUGCCUUC
rnacentral:RNase_P_RNA from 1 species